AUCAAAUCCUUCACAACAAUCUUGUUGAUUUCAGCACAGUGAGUGCAUAGUUUGCUAGCAGUGACACGUCUGCCGGAUUUAUCGUCUGGCUCUAAAUUCACUUCACCAACUCUGCAGGGGAUUCUUGAUACACACAAUCAUCCGGCACUUGCAAUAUUUCGUCUUGCACUACCGGAUCACCCUGCAGUCGGCCUUCAUCAGUCACAACCAAAUUUCAAUGCAGUAUGAAUACAGCUGUAUUGUACAUAUUAUCGGUCAAGCAAACACAACUUUCGAUAAAAUGCUAAAACAUACUCGUUUCUAACAGACGAUGGUUAACGCAACUCGGUGAAGUCAUACAAAUGCUCACACUAUGAGUCACGACUGUACAGCCGGCGUACUCGUACUUUACCACUAAAGUUCAAAUCAGCGCUUAUUGACCAAAAUAUGAGACUUAUACCACCUUGUAGUAUAAAAUCUGUAGUAUUUGGAUAGAUUUUUUGUUUUCCGAUAAGUAUUACUAAUUUUGUGUAAUAAUCAUCUAAACCAAGUAUGGGAAAGCGUUCCGUGACGUCUGUGCGCGCACAUCAAAGCUGCCGCCCAUCGCGCACCUGAGAUACGGAUCUUCUCUAAUACUGAUCGCGGAUAUGCUGCAUUGCAUGGUUAUCAGUUGGCAGAUCAUAUCCGCGGAUUCAGUGCGAGCUGAAGUGUUCUGAACAGGAUCUGCGUUAUUUUGUGGGCAUAAUUAUUUACAGCGGAAUUCUCCAGUUGCCUUCGCAGCGGCAUUUUUGGACGCGCUCUGCUUUGUUCGAUUUCCCAGCAGUGUCUUAUCAGAUUACGAGGAGCCGUUUCGAAGAAAUCAAAAAGUUUCUGCAUCUGGCCGACAACGACCAUUUAGUACAGGCGACAUUUGGCAAAGGUCAACCCCUUCAUGGACAUUGUGAAAAAGAAACUCCUGCAGUUUGGCUGGUUUGAAGAGAAUCUGAGUGUGGAUGGACAGAUGAUUCCCUACUUCGGACAUCAUUCCUGCAAAAUAUUUAUGCGUGGGAAGCCUUGUAGAUUCGGCUACAAGUUGUGGGUGAUUUGUGGCGCUAGCGGUUAUCCGUUUUUUUUGGCUAUACCGGAAAGGAGGCCGCGGUAACUCUAAAGCCUCUUGGGUCAAGAGUCGUGUUGUCGCUGCUGAGCCAUGUCGACAAUCCAGAGCUCCACACGGUUUUUUUUGACAAUUUUUUUACUCCUUACUUGAUGAACUGCGAAAGCUAAAAUACAAAGCUACCGGCACUGUGGGUGAGAAUCGUUUGCUGAAGUGUCCAUUCCCAGAUAACAAGAAAUUCAAAAAAAACCGCUCGAGGACAUUACGUAGGCUACUCCACGAAGGAUAUUGUAACAGUGAAGUGGCACGAUAACACCCCGUUUGCUUGGCUUCUAAUUAUGACACAGUUUUGCCGCUUGGGAAAGCAAGACGUUGAAGCGCAUCGGCAAAGUAGCCAAUCGAUAUCACUCAGCCGAAGAUGAUCGCCAGCUACAACAGAUUCAUGGGCGGCGUAGAUUUGUGUGAUCGAUUCAUUAGUAAUUUCCGACCAAUGAUGCGGUCCAAAAAGUGGUGGUGGCCAUUUUUUGCUAACAGCAUUGCCUUGAUGACCGUUGCGGCUUGGCGUGUCCACAAAGAAGUUGGCGGAAAUCUUACGCAAAUUCAGUUUCUGACGGAGCUGGUAGAGGGGCUGCUGCUGUCUGGAACAGAACAGCCCAGUGUCCGAACGGGACCGAGAACGCCGGUGUCCAGCACAGUAAGAUUCGACAACAUACAGCACAUUCCGGAGAAGUGCAAACGUGGUGAAUGCAAGCACUGUCGUGGCAUUUCAGCGCGACAGAAGUGUGGGAAGUACAAUGUUCGGUUGCAUAAGUCCUGCUUCCCGCUGUACCAUUCGCGUAACUGACGGAUAACGUUGCCAGCUCGUUGCUAUUUUCAAAAUAAAAGUUUUCGGAAUUUUGUACCAAUUAUAUUCGUUUGCAUUUUCACUCUAUUUUUAGGUUUUUUUGUGUAAUUUUUUCACUUUUCUAUGUUUUUACGCUAUGUUGACCACUGGUCAGCCGGAUGACCAUGACGAUAGUGCAGUCAUUUCUAUCUCGUUCUGACUUGUCGUUUGAGGCAAGGGCAGACCUUAUGCAAUUUGUCUAUCAAUUCCUAUAAAUAGUUGAAUUUGACCUGCCAAAGGGCAGGAUGCCCAUCCCGGUCAGUUUGACAGGCUCUCGCCCUGCUUGACCUAUGGUCACAAAAAUUUCCAAAAAAAUAGUUUUUCUUAAUUGAUUCAUUUUGCUACUAAUCACCAAUUUUCAAAUUGGUAUUCUCACUGCUUCUAGUAGCUGACUUUGGUGGGUUAAUUCGAUUAUUCCAGUUACUAAAGUUUUUCCCGGCAUUAUCAAUGCCGGGCAAUUAUGACUGAAGCAUCGAAUUGCAAAUAUCGCGUCGAUAUCUUUCGAAUUACCGCCCGUAUUUCAAUGCAUUUAAAACAUAAUAACAGGCGGUGAAUAAUACAAUUAAAAUAGCAUGUGGCGUUCUUCGACGUCAAUCGGCUCGUUAGCCGGCUUUUCACGAAGCUUUAUAUGCAGUUGUGCGACUUCAUAAUGCAAUUCGCGAUAUCAGACUGCAAUGGAGAAUAUUAAACCGGGAAUAUUAAACCGAGAAUAUUAAACCGAGUUAAUUUAACUCAUCCCGGUCUGAUAUUCUCCAUUCCAGUUCGGUAAGGAUAUCACUAAAUGGCGAACACGACGAGCAGUCGGCUCGGCUAACAUUCAUAAAAUUAUCGGCAUUAAUCGGCUGAAUACGGACAAUCCGUUCGGCUCUUUUAAAGCUUUAGCGGCGAAGUGCUUACUUUAUUAAACUGUGCAUGAUGCAUUGCAGUACCGACGUUUUUAAAGCUAUCGGUUUGUGGCGUUGGUGUUUUCCGUUGCAUUCCCAUGCAGCGCAGGCAUAACGCUUACAUGGUACAGAUGCUACUUCGAUCCCCGAUCCUCCUAUUAGCGUUAUAUUCUUCUACGCCGAUUUUAGAUGCAGGGUUUUGUACGGCGUUACGCUGCAUUAUUCUUUCCCCGAUCCUCCUGUCGACAAUUGCGCGCACUGCCAGAUUCCCUGUACGGCCAGACGGUUUCUAUGCGAAGCCAAAAGCAAAGUUUGGAGAAGCGCCGUCACUGUCUACCAGGAAAUACCAGCUAUGAGGCCCGACAUACACCGGAACCGGAGUUCCUGAGCUGAUUUCUUAUUACCGUCGAACCAAUGCCGUCUUAACUACACAUCGGAAGGCACCACACACCAGGGAUACCUCAGUGAGCGCAUGGAGAGUAAAAUGUGGCCCCGCGUCAAGACGUCAAUCUUGGGAGCAAGCAAGCAACAACAUCGUUCAUCGACCGCGUCGCACCGUCUAGGACCGUCACUUCACCGCAGCCGAAAACGGCAGCUGUACGAGCAACCGUCUUUAAUUAUUUUUCAACGGAAUAUUAGCGAUAUUGCUGCUGAUUUUUAUCAGAAUAUCGUUAACAAAAUCAGCAGCUGCUGGAUCCGAUCGUCGCAAUUUCGCAUAUCGUUUUCGAUAUUUUACCGGGAUAAAUGGAUGAAUUCACAAGAAUUUAUCAAUUAAAUUACGCCGUAUUUGUUAGCCGAAACACUGAAACCUUGCUGCCGAGCCAAGAAUCCGAAUCUAACAGACUGAAAUCCAAAAACGUCCCGGCCAUGUGCAUGUAAUGCCAAUAUCUGUCCGUAGACACUUCACAUACGAGGCGAAAUAGGAGUCGGUGCGAUACCUACGCAGCCCCACUUUCCUGGGCUGUGGCGCCGAUCUCCUGGCACCGAUGUUGUUUCGAACUGCUACGAGUAGUUUUGCGAGAAGUUCAGUGCUGGCGCUGCCGCCGAACUGGCAUGCCGGGAGAAGAUUGGAAAAUACAAGUCGCUUACCGAUCGCUGUAAUUUUGUCGCCUUUGCAUGUGAGACUUUUGGCACUUGGUGUGAGACCGGCAUUGUAACGUUAAAGGAGAUCGGUAAGAAGUUGUUUUUAAGGACGGGUGAGAGUCGCUCUACUUGUUUUCUGUUUCAGCGUUUAAGUUUGGAGAUUAUGCGUGGUAAUGCAAUGAGUGUAUUGUGCACGGUCCCUUCCCAUGUCAAUUGGGACAAAUUCUUCAUUUGAUCAUGUUUGUUGAGCGAAGC